GAUGCUUUGGUGCCUUCGGGGAACUCUGAGACAGGUGCUGCAUGGCUGUCGUCAGCUCGUGUUGUGAAAUGUUGGGUUAAGUCCCGNAACGAGCGCAACCCUUAUCCUUUGUUGCCAGCGGUUCGGCCGGGAACUCAAAGGAGACUGCCGGUGAUAAACCGGAGGAAGGUGGGGAUGACGUCAAGUCAUCAUGGCCCUUACGGCCAGGGCUACACACGUGCUACAAUGGCGCAUACAAAGAGAAGCGACCUCGCGAGAGCAAGCGGACCUCAUAAAGUGCGUCGUAGUCCGGAUUGGAGUCUGCAACUCGACUCCAUGAAGUCGGAAUCGCUAGUAAUCGUAGAUCAGAAUGCUACGGUGAAUACGUUCCCGGGCCUUGUACACACCGCCCGUCACACCAUGGGAGUGGGUUGCAAAAGAAGUAGGUAGCUUAACCUUCGGGAGGGCGCUUACCACUUUGUGAUUCAUGACUGGGGUGAAGUCGUAACAAGGUAAGCGUAGCGAG
rnacentral:rRNA from 1 species